rnacentral:rRNA from 1 species
UACGGAGGGGGCUAGCGUUGUUCGGAAUUACUGGGCGUAAAGCGCACGUAGGCGGCUUUGUAAGUUAGAGAUGAAAGCCCAGGGCUUAACCCUGGAAUUGCCUUUAAGACUGCAUCGCUCGAAUUGUGGAGAGGUGAGUGGAAUUCCGAGUGUAGAGGUGAAAUUCGUAGAUAUUCGGAAGAACACCAGUGGCGAAGGCGACUCACUGGACACAUAUUGACGCUGAGGUGCGAAAGCGUGGGGAGCAAACAGG